CACGUAGGGUGCAAGCGUUGUCCGGAAUCAUUGGGCGUAAAGAGCUCGUAGGCGGCUUAGUAAGUCGGGUGUGAAAACCCCAGGCUCAACCUGGGGACGCCACCCGAUACUGCUAUAGCUAGAGUCCAGUAGGGGAGUGUGGAAUUCCCAGUGUAGCGGUGAAAUGCGCAGAUAUCAGGAAGAACACCCGUGGCGAAGGCGGUUCUCUGGGACGGUACUGACGCUGAGACGCGAAAGCGUGGGGAGCGAACAGG
rnacentral:rRNA from 1 species